rnacentral:rRNA from 1 species
AAACCACGCUACAAGUGGGACUAAGCCAUGCGAGUCGACACAGCAAUGUGUGGCAUACGGCUCAGUAACACGUAGUCAACAUGCCCAGGGGACGUGGAUAACCUCGGGAAACUUGAGGAUAAACCGCGAUAGGUCACUACUUCUGGAAUGGGUAAUGACCCAAACCUAUAUGGCCCCUGGAUUGGACUGCGGCCGAUCAGGCUGUUGGUGAGGUAAUGGCCCACCAAACCUGUAACCGGUACGGGCUCUGAGAGGAGGAGCCCGGAGAUGGGCACUGAGACAAGGGCCCAGGCCCUAUGGGGCGCAGCAGGCGCGAAACCUCUGCAAUAGGCGAAAGCUUGACAGGGUUACUCUGAGUUGAUUUCCGUUAAGGAGAUCUUUUGACACCUCUAAAAAUGGUGUAGAAUAAGGGGUGGGCAAGUCUGGUGUCAGCCGCCGCGGUAAUACCAGCACCCGAGUGGUCGGGACGAUUAUUGGGCCUAAAGCAUCCGUAGCCGGUCUACAAGUCUUCCGUUAAAUCCACCUUGCUCAACAGAUGGGCUGCGGAAGAUACUAUAGGGGCUAGGAGGCGGGAGAGGCAAGCGGUACUCAGUGGGUAGGGGUAAAAUCUCUUAUUCAUUUGAAAACACCAGUUGGCGAAGGCGGCUUGCAAACGCCUCGACGGGUGAGGGAUGAAACUUGGGGGGACCAACCGGAAUUAAUACCGGGGUAUCCCACAGUAAACGAUNCAAACUCGGUGAUUGGUUGGCCUUUU